rfam:Dipodomys ordii contig_64826, whole genome shotgun sequence.
GGUGGUUCAGAGGUAGAGUGCUUGCCUUGCAUGCAUGAGGCCCUGGGUUCAAUUCCUCAGCACCA